rnacentral:rRNA from 1 species
UACGUAGGGGGCAAGCGUUGUCCGGAUUUAUUGGGCGUAAAGAGCGUGUAGGCGGCCAGACAGGUCCGUUGUGAAAACUAGAGGCUUAACCUCUAGACGUCGAUGGAAACUGUUUGGCUAGAGUCCGGAAGAGGAGAAUGGAAUUCCUGGUGUAGCGGUGAAAUGCGCAGAUAUCAGGAAGAACACCCGUGGCUAAGGCGGUUCUCUAGUACGGUACUGUCGCUGAGACGCGAAAGCGUGGGGAGCGAACAGG